rnacentral:rRNA from 1 species
ACUCCUACGGGAGGCAGCAGUGGGGAAUAUUGCACAAUGGGCGCAAGCCUGAUGCAGCCAUGCCGCGUGAGUGAAGAAGGUUUUCGGAUCGUAAAACUCUGUCCUAAGGGAAGAAAAAAUAGACGGUACCUUAGGAGGAAGCCCGGCCUAACUACGUGCCAGCAGCCGCGGUAAUACGUAGGGGCAAGCGUUAUCCGGAAUCACUGGGGCGUAAAGGGUGCGUAGGCGGCUUAGCAAGCCAGGGGUGAAAGGCAUUGGCUCAACCAAUGUAAGCCUUUGGAACUGUUAAGCUUGAGUGCAGGAGAGGUAAGUGGAAUUCCUAGUGUAGAGGUGAAAUUCGUAGAUAUUAGGAGGAACACCAGUGGCGAAGGCGACUUACUGGACUGUAACUGACGCUGAUGCACGAAAGCGUGGGUAGCGAACAGGAUUAGAUACCCUGGUAGGUCAGUC